rnacentral:rRNA from 1 species
AACGAACGCUGGCGGCAUGCCUAACACAUGCAAGUCGAACGAGACCUUCGGGUCUAGUGGCGCACGGGUGCGUAACGCGUGGGAAUCUGCCCUUGGGUUCGGAAUAACAGUUAGAAAUGACUGCUAAUACCGGAUAAUGUCUUCGGACCAAAGAUUUAUCGCCCAGGGAUGAGCCCCGCGUAGGAUUAGCUAGUUGGUGAGGUAAAGGCUCACCAAGGCGACGAUCCUUAGCUGGUCUGAGAGGAUGAUCAGCCACACUGGGACUGAGACACGGCCCAGACUCCUACGGGAGGCAGCAGUGGGGAAUAUUGGACAAUGGCGAAAGCCUGAUCCAGCAAUGCCGCGUGAGUGAUGAAGGCCUUAGGGUUGUAAAGCUCUUUUACCCGGGAUGAUAAUGACAGUACCGGGAGAAUAAGCCCCGGCUAACUCCGUGCCAGCAGCCGCGUAAU